AGCGAACGCUGGCGGCAGGCUUAACACAUGCAAGUCGAGCGGGCAUCUUCGGAUGUCAGCGGCAGACGGGUGAGUAACACGUGGGAACGUACCCUUCGGUUCGGAACAACUCUGGGAAACUGGAGCUAAUACCGGAUACGCCCUUAUGGGGAAAGGUUUACUGCCGAAGGAUCGGCCCGCGUCUGAUUAGCUAGUUGGUGGGGUAACGGCCUACCAAGGCGACGAUCAGUAGCUGGUCUGAGAGGAUGAUCAGCCACACUGGGACUGAGACACGGCCCAGACUCCUACGGGAGGCAGCAGUGGGGAAUAUUGGACAAUGGGCGCAAGCCUGAUCCGGCCAUGCCGCGUGAGUGAUGAAGGCCUUAGGGUUGUAAAGCUCUUUUGUCCGGGACGAUAAUGACGGUACCGGAAGAAUAAGCCCCGGCUAACUUCGUG
rnacentral:rRNA from 1 species